UACAGAGGUCCCAAGCGUUGUUCGGAUUCACUGGGCGUAAAGGGUGCGCAGGUGGUUUGGCAAGUUUGACGUGAAAGCCCCGGGCUUAACCCGGGAACGGCGUUGAAAACUGCUUGAACUGGAGGGUCGGAGGGGGGACUGGAAUUCUUGGUGUAGCAGUGAAAUGCGUAGAUAUCAAGAGGAACACCAGUGGCGAAGGCAGCUCUCUGGGACGGUACUGACGCUGAGACGCGAAAGCGUGGGGAGCGAACAGG
rnacentral:rRNA from 1 species